AUGAACGCUGGCGGCGUGCCUAAUACAUGCAAGUCGAGCGAACGGACGAGAAGCUUGCUUCUCUGAUGUUAGCGGCGGACGGGUGAGUAACACGUGGAUAACCUACCUAUAAGACUGGGAUAACUUCGGGAAACCGUAGCUAAUACCGGAUAAUAUUUUGAACCGCAUGGUUCAAAAGUGAAAGACGGUCUUGCUGUCACUUAUAGAUGGAUCCGUGCUGCAUUAGCUAGUUGGUAAGGUAACGGCUUACCAAGGCAACGAUGCAUAGCCGACCUGAGAGGGUGAUCGGCCACACUGGAACUGAGACACGGUCCAGACUCCUACGGGAGGCAGCAGUAGGGAAUCUUCCGCAAUGGGCGAAAGCCUGACGGAGCAACGCCGCGUGAGUGAUGAAGGUCUUCGGAUCGUAAAACUCUGUUAUUAGGGAAGAACAUAUGUGUAAGUAACUGUGCACAUCUUGACGGUACCUAAUCAGAAAGCCACGGCUAACUACGUG
rnacentral:rRNA from 1 species